rnacentral:rRNA from 1 species
UGGGGAAUAUUGGACAAUGGGCGAAAGCCUGAUCCAGCCAUGCCGCGUGUGUGAAGAAGGUCUUCGGAUUGUAAAGCACUUUAAGUUGGGAGGAAGGGCAGUAAGCGAAUACCUUGCUGUUUUGACGUUACCGACAGAAUAAGCACCGGCUAACUCUGUGCCAGCAGCCGCGGUAAUACAGAGGGUGCAAGCGUUAAUCGGAAUUACUGGGCGUAAAGCGCGCGUAGGUGGUUCGUUAAGUUGAAUGUGAAAGCCCCGGGCUCAACCUGGGAACUGCUUCCAAAACUGGCGAGCUAGAGUAGGGCGGAGGGUGGUGGAAUUUCCUGUGUAGCGGUGAAAUGCGUAGAUAUAGGGAGGAACACCAGUGGCGAAGGCGACCACCUGGGCUCAUACUGACACUGAGGUGCGAAAGCGUGGGGAGCAAACAGG